AACCCUUGUCCUUAGUUACCAGCACGUUAUGUGGGCACUCUAAGGAGACUGCCGGUGCAAACCGGAGGAAGUGGGGAUGACGUCAAGUCAUCAUGGCCCUUACGGCCUGGGCUACACACGUGCUACAAUGGUCGGUACAAAGGGUUGCCAAGCCGCGAGGUGGAGCUAAUCCCAUAAAACCGAUCGUAGUCCGGAUCGCAGUCUGCAACUCGACUGCGUGAAGUCGGAAUCGCUAGUAAUCGUGAAUCAGAAUGUCACGGUGAAUACGUUCCCGGGCCUU
rnacentral:rRNA from 1 species